rnacentral:rRNA from 1 species
AAGCGGUGGAUUAUGUGGAUUAAUCGAUGCAACGCGAAGACUUACACCCUUGACAUGUCCGGAACUUGCCAGAGAUGGCUGGUGCCCGAAAGGGAAUCGGGAACACAGGUGCUGCAUGGCUGUCGUCAGCUCGUGUCGUGAGAUGUUGGGUUAAGUCCCGCAACGAGCGCAACCCUUAUCAUUAGUUGCUACGCAAGGGCACUCUAAUGAGACUGCCGGUGACAAACCGGAGGAAGGUGGGGAUGACGUCAAGUCCUCAUGGCCCUUAUGGGUAGGGCUUCACACGUCAUACAAUGGUCGGUACAGAGGGUUGCCAAGCCGCGAGGCGGAGCCAAUCCUUAAAGCUGGUCUCAGUUCGGAUUGCAGGCUGCAACUCGCCUGCAUGAAGUCGGAGUUGCUAGUAACCGCGCGUCGGCCAUAGUGCGGUGAAUACGUUCCCGGGCCUU